rnacentral:rRNA from 1 species
CCUACGGGAGGCAGCAGUCGGGAAUAUUGCUCAAUGGGGGAAACCCUGAAGCAGCAACGCCGCGUGGAGGAUGAAGGUUUUCGGAUUGUAAACUCCUUUUGUUAGAGAAGAUAAUGACGGUAUCUAACGAAUAAGCACCGGCUAACUCCGUGCCAGCAGCCGCGGUAAUACGGAGGGUGCAAGCGUUACUCGGAAUCACUGGGCGUAAGGAGCGCGGAGGCGGGAUAGCAAGUCAGAUGUGAAAUCCUAUGGCUUAACCAUAGAACUGCAUUUGAAACUGUUAUUCUAGAGUAUGGGAGAGGUAGGUGGAAUUCUUGGUGUAGGGGUAAAAUCCGUAGAGAUCAAGAGGAAUACUCAUUGCGAAGGCGACCUGCUAGAACAUAACUGACGCUGAUGCGCGAAAGCGUGGGGAGCAAACAGGAUUAGAUACCCCUGUAGUC